GCCCGGAUGGUGGAAUCGGUAGACACAAGGGAUUUAAAAUCCCUCGGCGUUGGCGCUGUGCGGGUUCAAGUCCCGCUCCGGGUACCA
rnacentral:tRNA from 2 species